rnacentral:rRNA from 1 species
UACAGAGGGUGCGAGCGUUAAUCGGAAUUACUGGGCGUAAAGCGCACGUAGUCGGCUUUGCAAGUCGGGUGUGAAAUCCCCGGGCUCAACCUGGGAACUGCAUCCGAGACUGCAUUGCUAGAGUAUGGGAGAGGGAAGCGGAAUUUCUGGUGUAGCAGUGAAAUGCGUAGAUAUGCGGAGGAACACCGAUGGCGAAGGCAAUCCCCUGGGCCUGCACUGACGCUCAUGCACGAAAGCGUGGGGAGCAAACAGG